UAGAAUUCAGCUUUACAACUCAAGAUGGUU
rnacentral:piRNA from 1 species